rnacentral:rRNA from 1 species
GUGAGUAACACGUGAGUAACCUACCCUGUACAACGGGAUAACACAAAGAAAUUUGUGCUAAUACCGUAUAAGACCCCACUACCGCCUGGUAGAGAGGUAAAAGCGAAAUAGCGGUACAGGAUGGACUCGCGCCCCAUUAGCUAGUUGGUAAGAUAACAGCUUACCAAGGCAAUGAUGGGUAGCCGACUUGAGAGAGUGAUCGGCCACACUGGAACUGAGACACGGUCCAGACUCCUACGGGAGGCAGCAGUGGGGAAUAUUGGGCAAUGGAGGCAACUCUGACCCAGCAAUGCCGCGUGAGUGAAGAAGGUUUUCGGAUUGUAAAGCUCUUUGAUUAGGGAUGAAGAAAGUGACAUUACCUAAAGAACAAGCCCCGGCUAACUACGUGCCAGCAGCCGCGGUAACACGUAGGGGGCAAGCGUUGUCCGGAAUUACUGGGCGUAAAGGGUGUGUAGGCGGUCUAUCAAGUUAGAAGUGUAAUCCCCAGGGCUCAACCCGGGUGCUGCUUCUAAAACUGGUAGACUUGAGUGCAGGAGAGAGUAGUGGAAUUCCUAGUGUAG